ACCACAUCCAGCCCUGGAGGCUGAUUCGAUGGAGCCGCAGGAGGGCUCCUUUGGGGACACGUUCAGAAAAGCCCCAAAGGGGCCCUGGAGGAGAGCACGUGGAUCCACACACUUUCCGGCACUGGCAAAGGAAGUAGAUGGCGAAGUUAUUUUUCUUUUGGUGAAGAGUGGAUGGUUUCAAAUAAAUCACUGCUUCCUCCCGCACCCUAAGACAACGCUCCAGAAAUGGGAGGUGUGGGCCUGCUUUGCAAGGUCAGUGUCUUUUCAUCUUUUCCUCAAAUCCCUUCCCACCCAUGUCUCCUUUAUAUGUUUAUUUAUUAGCUUUUCUCUAUAGUCUGCGUUUUAUGCUUCUUCCCUCUCAUGUAAGAAAGACAGCUUCCUUGAUGCUAUUUCGCAUUCACUGAAAAAAGUGCUAAGUCCAACAGCACUAGGGUCUGACGAGCGGGGGACACGCCUAUCAGAAGAGCCAAUGGCUCAUAGACAUCAUGUGAACUUCAAGCAUAGAUUAUUAUUAUUAUUGAGUUUAUAGCACCUUGGCUGUUUGCCCAGCGUGUCCUUGAUAACUCAGGGUCACACACACAAAAAAGUGAUUCUCUGCCACAACUCAGUAAGACAUGGGAUCUGCAUGAUUAAAAGGGCCUUAGCAUUCAGAAUCCUGAAAUAAUG
rnacentral:lncRNA from 1 species